rnacentral:rRNA from 1 species
GAUGAACGCUAGCGACAGGCCUAACACAUGCAAGUCGAGGGGCAGCACAUGAGUAGCAAUACGAUGGUGGCGACCGGCGCACGGGUGAGUAACACGUAUGCAACCUGCCUUCUACUAUGGGAUAACCCGUGGAAAGACGGACUAAUACCGUAUAAUACAGGGGCUCCGCAUGGAGAUAUUUGUUAAAGAUUUAUUGGUAGAAGAUGGGCAUGCGUAUGAUUAGAUAGUUGGUGAGGUCACGGCUCACCAAGUCAACGAUCAUUAGGGGUUCUGAGAGGAAGGUCCCCCACACUGGUACUGAGACACGGACCAGACUCCUACGGGAGGCAGCAGUGAGGAAUAUUGGUCAAUGGACGAGAGUCUGAACCAGCCAAGUCGCGUGAAGGAAGACGGUUCUAUGAAUUGUAAACUUCUUUUGUGCAGGAAUAAAGUGGGUUACGUGUAACCUUUUGUAUGUACUGUACGAAUAAGGAUCGGCUAACUCCGUCCAGCAGCCGCCGUAAUAC